GACGAACGCUGGCGGCGUGCUUAACACAUGCAAGUCGAACGGAAAGGCCCCUUUGGGGGUACUCGAGUGGCGAACGGGUGCGUAACACGUGAGUAACCUGCCCUUGACUUCGGGAUAACUUCAGGAAACUGGGGCUAAUACCGGAUAGGAAUCCUUGCUGCAUGGUGGGGGUUGGAAAGCUUCGGCGGUUUUGGAUGGACUCGCGGCUUAUCAGCCUGUUGGUGGGGUAGUGGCUUACCAAGGCUUUGACGGGUAGCCGGCCUGGGGGGGCGACCGGCCACAUUGGGACUGAGAUACGGCCCAGACUCCUACGGGAGGCAGCAGUGGGGAAUAUUGCACAAUGGGCGGAAGCCUGAUGCAGCAACGCCGCGUGCGGGAUGACGGCCUUCGGGUUGUAAACCGCUUUCAGCAGGGGCGAAGCUUGUGGUGACGGUACCUGCAGAAGAAGCACCGGCUAACUACGUG
rnacentral:rRNA from 1 species